rnacentral:rRNA from 1 species
GAUGAACGCUAGCGGCAGGCCUAAUACAUGCAAGUCGAACGGGAUCCAGAUCAAAGCUUGCUUUGGUCUGGUGAGAGUGGCGCACGGGUGCGUAACGCGUGAGCAACCUACCCUUGUCAGGGGGAUAGCCCGGCGAAAGUCGGAUUAAUACCGCAUGGCAUCAUUGAGAGGCAUCUUUCGAUGAUCAAAGAUUUAUCGGACAAGGAUGGGCUCGCGUGACAUUAGCUAGUUGGUAAGGUAACGGCUUACCAAGGCUGCGAUGUCUAGGGGCUCUGAGAGGAGAAUCCCCCACACUGGUACUGAGACACGGACCAGACUCCUACGGGAGGCAGCAGUAAGGAAUAUUGAUCAAUGGACGGAAGUCUGAACCAGCCAUGCCGCGUGCAGGAAGACGGCCCUAUGGGUUGUAAACUGCUUUUAUACGGGAACAAACGUCGGUACGUGUACCGGUCUGAGUGUACCGUAAGAAUAAGGAUCGGCUAACUCCGUG